UAGGGAAUCUUCGGCAAUGGACGGAAGUCUGACCGAGCAACGCCGCGUGAGUGAAGAAGGUUUUCGGAUCGUAAAGCUCUGUUGUAAGAGAAGAACGAGUGUGAGAGUGGAAAGUUCACACUGUGACGGUAUCUUACCAGAAAGGGACGGCUAACUACGUGCCAGCAGCCGCGGUAAUACGUAGGUCCCGAGCGUUGUCCGGAUUUAUUGGGCGUAAAGCGAGCGCAGGCGGUUAGAUAAGUCUGAAGUUAAAGGCUGUGGCUUAACCAUAGUACGCUUUGGAAACUGUUUAACUUGAGUGCAAGAGGGGAGAGUGGAAUUCCAUGUGUAGCGGUGAAAUGCGUAGAUAUAUGGAGGAACACCGGUGGCGAAAGCGGCUCUCUGGCUUGUAACUGACGCUGAGGCUCGAAAGCGUGGGGAGCAGACAGGAUUAGAUACCCUGGUAGUCCACGCCGUAAACGAUGAGUGCUAGGUGUUAGACCCUUUCCGGGGUUUAGUGCCGCAGCUAACGCAUUAAGCACUCCGCCUGGGGAGUACGACCGCAAGGUUG
rnacentral:rRNA from 1 species